rnacentral:tRNA from 1 species
GGGGCCAUAGCUCAGCUGGGAGAGCACCUGCUUUGCACGCAGGAGGUCAGCGGUUCGAUCCCGCUUGGCUCCA